UUGAGAGAACCUCCUGCUGGAUGGGGAGGGAGAGAAGACAAAGAGGCCAGCAGAAGAGGCAGGUUGGGCUCAGGUUUUGCCCCGACUCCAUCCAGCAGGAGAGGAGCCAGGCUCUAGAGCAAUAGUCCUAAAUAGAGUUGACCCAGUGAAACCACUGUUGAAUUUGGCCCACUUCUUUAGCUGCGGGACUUGGGGUGGAAAUGAGUGUGGCAGUUCCUAAGAAGAUUGCCAAGGACACUUGCAGAUGGAAAAAACAGUGAAGAAACAUGGAGAGGUUUUAAAUGUUAGAUGUCAGUGUCUCAACCUCCCAUAAAAUUCUAACAAUGCAGCAAAAAGCAGCAGAAUAAAAGACCUGCCUGGAAGCAGACAGUAUGUCUCCUUAUAUACUCUGAUAAAGGUGUCUCAGUUAAGUAGAGGAGAAAAUAACAUGAUGCAUAUGACUGUACACUGUUCUGUACACUAUUGGAGAGAUCACCUGAAACUAUGUACUUCAGACUAAAGGUUGUCCAGACUACAGGGACAGCCACAUCAAAGUCUUCAGUGACACUUAUUGAUUAAGAUGGGCUGUGCUGUCUUUAUUGCCAGAGGUCUCCGAAGCAACAGACUAAAAACACACAAUAAAACAAUAGAAUUAUGAAUCCACACAGGUGUUAGUUUUAAAGCCUAGGUGAAAGAGAAUCCGUUUAAGAAGGCAGAGGGUCCUUCUGGUCAUGGUAAUCCAGCCAGCAUGGGAUUAGGCUGCAUGGAUGGAGUAACAUUUCUUCAGCCCAACCUAUUUCUAAUUGGUAAUGGGGACCAUGGCGAUAUCAUCUACUUUCCAGUGGGAUAUUUUGUAUUAUUAUUCAGAAAAUGUAUACUCCCUAUUAAUCAAAAUACUUUAAGUGCUCCUUAUUCCAGAUUAAUCAAGAGGAAAGACAAGAUUGUGUUUGUAUUUGUGUUUUGUGUAUCUAUCCCUACGAGCAGUAAAUAUGAAUUUACUCUGCCUCUGAAUUACUCUUGGUAGUUCAGCAAAAAUGUUUAUUUUCAGAAUCAUAAAUGAUACUUAAAUUGAGUUUAUGUCACAUAUUUGUCAGUUACAUUUAUAUCCUGCUGUUCCCCCAGUGAAUUGAAGGCAUGCUUCUCCUCCUCUGAAUUUUUCGUUACCAUAACAUUGUGAAGUAGGUCAGGCAGAUAAAAUCAGGCCAGUCCAAGGUCACCCAGUGAGUUUCAUGGGUCAUUGGGGACUAAACUUGGACUCUCAAAAUCUUAGCCAAAUAGUCACAACUACACAACAUUAACUUUCUAGUGCUUUGGAUUUCCUGUCCCUGUAAUGGGAACAUAAAGUUCCAUUGGCUAGAAUGUAAAUUGGAUUUGAACAAAAAUGGCUUGCCUUGCCUUUUAGGCUCAUGUUAACAACCUCCACACAUGCACACAAUAGCAAGAGAGGAACUUGUGGUUUUUGUUGUGUCAUGUGCAAAAAAAUUACCAAUUAUUACCUGUAGCUCUGCUCAGAUACGCAUGUCUGGAAUAUGAUCAGACAGGGUCCAGAAUAUACAAGCAUUACAAGGGAUGGGGAACCAGUGAGCAAGGCCAGGUGCCCCAGGGCUUGCAGGGUAGCCGAGGUGGUCGAUAGGCGUCAGGGGAGAUAUCUGUGGGCCCACAGCUUAUGAUAACAGCAGCGCUGUCAAGUUUCACACAGAAGGAUCUUUGGCAGAGUAAGUUGGAGAGUAGGCUUGAACUUGUGAGAAGCCCACACGACAUGCUAAAACUGCUCAUAAUUAAUUGGGCUCAGAAGAUGUAGCUGUCUAUGGCACAUGGUGCAGUCGAUUCAGUUCCUGGCACUGACACAUGGAGGAAAAUAAGAAGAAUAUAUUCUCGACAAGCUCAUGUUGUUCUUAAGACAGUUAUAGUACAAGCAGAGUUUUCCCCCUUGAAAGUGUCUAAUCCUCCAUGUUUCUUUGAUGCCUGGAGCCCAGGGGAGGGACGGCUGUGCUUGUGUGCUCUGACACAUAGAUGUAUAGCACCCUGCCCCCACAAGACACCAAGUGCCCAUUAAACCCUUAGAGCAGAGUGAGAAUCAUUUAGCCUUCAAUAUGUUAUUGGACUGUAAUUCCCAGCAUACUUCAAAACUAGCAAUUCUGGAAAGGCCUGCUGGGACCUUCAGUCAAACUGCCUUUGGAGGAAUACAUGAUUCCCAUGCCUGCCUUAGCAGAAAACUCCAUUGUUCAUCACCGCUAAAGUGAGUACACUGAAUUAUAAAAAUAACGAGGAAAGAACUUUUGGUGAAGGGCUAGCACUUUGGCAGAGAAGGCUAAACGCCUUGAAAAACUACAACUCUCAUGAGUUCACACAACUGAGCCAGGCAGUUAAAAUGGUAUCAAACUGCAUUAAUUCUAUAGAGUAGAAGGACCCUGGCAGGAGACUGCUUGUACCCCAUGAUCCUUAAGUGAGGCCUUGUACCAGCCUUACCACUUUUACAAGCAUAAUUGUUGGUAGGGUGAGAAACCUUUUGGCCAGACAUUUAAGGGCGAUUUAGUCGCAACAAAUUUUGCACAUUUUUAGCAGUGCAGCAUCACUCCAUGAAAUGUUCACAGAACUGAUAAUACUAAACAAAACAAUUUAUUAUUUCAUAUCUCUCAGUGAAACUUUUUUUUUUUUACAGCAGAUACCCAGCAGCCCCACUUCACUUUUCCUCCUUGUCCACUGUCUAACUGGAUAGUUUUUUUAAGCAGCAUCAGGACUGGGAGGAUUGUGAAGACUACAGAAACACCAAUAUUCAGUGUCAGGUUGCAGUAGCAUUGUGUGCAUUAAACAUUACAAUAAAACGAUGUGGGAAAUAAUGUUUCAUUUCAUGCAUGUACAUUGUUAAUUAUGAAUGAAAAGUUUAUAGGAACAUGGUGAUCUCCUCUUUUUCUUCUUCCUCUUCUUCCUCAUUAUGCCCCUUGAACUUGUUUUGGGUGCAUCUACACUCUUUGUUUCAGCAGGGUAAGGUGGAGGGUGGGUGCAGGUGUAGCAUUCCUCCUGUUGCUCUUGCUUGACUGUUGGAGUUUCUUUCUGAGCCGUUUAAAUUGGUUAGAAACACCUACCAGGUGAUUCUCUAUCUAUCUUCUUUCCCAACCUCCAGGAUAUGUAAAGCUUGGGAUGGAAAUCAGAUUUGCAGUAUCUUGUUCCUAAAUCCCUGGUCUGAACAAGAAAUCAGCUACUGUCUGAGCUGGAGUGUGCAGGCAGUGUGUCCCUGUUUUUUUCUCAUAUAUCUAUCCCCAAAAGCUCUAUCUUUGCUAAUCUAGUAUUCUUCAAAUUUUCUGCUUCUCAGAGCUUUGAAAUGGCAGCACUUAGGCUUACACAUUGACAUUAAACCAUCAAACCCCCACCCCACCCGUAAUGCACUAACAUUAAAUAAUAAGGAUAAAAUUAUAAAAUGACUUGGUUAUGUUCAUUUUUAAUGUGUUAGUUUUAAAUUUUAAAAUAAUGAAAUUAAAAAUAAUCCAUAAGGGCCAACCUUUUCAAUCACUCCCAAAGUAAUGAAAUAAAAUCAAUUAUGAAAACAUGUUGUUUCUCAGAAAAUUAACAGCAAAGUUGUUUAAGUAAAAAAGCCAAUUUUAAAAUCAUUCUUGUAAGUGUUAAUGAGUUUGGAGUAAUUAGUUAAGUUAAUUACGGGUUGAAUAUCCCAUAUCCAAAAUUAUUGCAGCCAGAAGUGUUUUUUGGAUUUCAGAAUCCCCCCUCCCCUCAGAUUUUGAAAUGCCUGCAUUUGCACUUACAUACAUUACGACAGUGGUUCCCAAACUUAUUUGGCCUACCGCCCCCUUUCCAGAAAAAAUAUUACUCAGCACCCCCUGGAAAUUAAUUUUUUAAAUUUUUUAAUAGCAAUUAAACAGAAAGAUAUAUGUA